rnacentral:lncRNA from 1 species
CCCGCUAGAAGAGCUGGAACUGCCACUACUCCUCUUAAAGUUCUGAGUCUUAUGGGGUCCCUAAAAUGCUUGCCUUUUUCCUUUAUCAUCUCGUCUCUAGCCCCCAUUCUUUCCUUCCUUAUUCUCACUUUCACUAGGCAUGUUCUCUGAGACCUCAAUCCUCAGUAGAAUCUCAUAAAACUUCUGGUAAGAGGCACAUUAAGUCGAUGUCGCUAUGGAACGUAAUUUCUUCUUAGUACCCAAACUGAAACGGCGAAGCAUCUUUACCGAAUUAGCAGCAACCUCCGGAUCAUAUCUCGACAGAUCAGUAAACA